AAGCGCUUCCUUUAAGUGAAAAGGUGAAAGUUCUCGACCUAAUAAGGAAAGGAAAAAAAAACUGGAUGCUGAGUUUGCUAAGAUCUAGGCUUCACAAAGGAAUGUAAAAGACAAGUACCAGGAAAAGACAUGAUUCUCUGGAAGAAACAAGAUGAAAACCAACAUGACCAAAUGAAAAUAAAGAAGGAUUAGACACAACCUACUGGGACACACAGGGCGCUGGAGGACGGAGGAGGCGUAAUGCUCAGCCCCUGCCCCACCGUGCCUUCAGAAGCUGAUGGCCAGCCAGCCAACAUUUCGAGGCAGGCACACAUCCUUCGGGGCUUAUGAAUCCACCUUCUUGCCUCCUGCAAAGGGAAAGGGGAUGAUUGGGCCAGCCUAGCUGACUGCACCUGCCUCUUUAUUAACCACAGAAAAGUGAGAACCUACCAACUUGAAAUUAAAUCUUUUUCUGCUUUGGCACCAGGUAUGCCCAUGGAAGAAGUGACUCGGGAAGGGCAGUUUUGCUGUAAGAACAGGAGGAACAAGUGUUGCAAGAAGAGGAUGGAUGUUGGAUCUGAAGCUUUGAUGAUAAAAUUGGAUUGAGAGAGAGGCCACUGAUAGAUGAAGCUAUUUUCCACUGGGCAUGGACACUGUAUGAAGAUGACUGAAUCAGGAAAGGACAAUAUCAGUGCCAGACUAGCUCUACUCUUGGACCAUCUUGAUCCUGUUCUUGAACUGAAGGCACUUGAAUGUACCUGAUGGUGAGAAAGUAGAAGUAAGCCUGAAAAUUCUGAGUAAUGCAUCUGAGAUGCAUCUGAGACCAGACUGGACGGGACACUAAAACAGACAGUAACAAGGACCGGAAAUGUCACCCCCCCACACCUGCCCCAUUAUUGGCGCUUGACACUUGGCCCUGGGUCCUGACGUCCUCAUAGUCACUGUGUAGCCCAGGAAGUGAUGCAGGGCGACACACACAGAGAAUCUUUUCCUGGAAAUGGGUUUGGAGGACAGCUUAUUAUACACAGUAAGCCCUUGUGUAUGUGAUUGAAAAUAAACUCAGACAGUGCAUCAGGUUACAGUUAUGUGUUGAAAGGCGAAAAUCCACUUAUCCACGUGCCCUGACCGAAGACUGCCCGAGCCUGGAAUGCCAUCCCAGGACCUCAGACUAAGUGAUCAGACACUUCUUUAUCCAGAGUCCAGUGACUUAGGGAUAGACUUCCAUGGAAUUUAAACUUAGUUUAAAAAAC